AUUGCUUCUCGGCCUUUUGGCUAAGAUCAAGUGUAGUAUCUGUUCUUAUCAGUUUAAUAUGCCUAACCUACCGACCACUGUAGCUCAGCCUGGCCCACACUAAACAUGCUCAGAACACUGACACGAGCCUCCAGUUGGACACAAUCAUCUGCCACAAAGCCUAUUUUAUAAGGAAAUUUUGACUGUCU
ensembl:snRNA U2 U2 spliceosomal RNA